GACCCCUAUUUGUAUUCUGCAUAGCACAUAUCACCGGGCUGCCUUGUAUUAUUAACAUUGACAAAAGUUGUGGAAUUUGGCCUUACACCUUACACCUCCUAGUUGCAUUUGCUUGAAAACAUUUCCAACAUGCAUUCUGGUAUGAUAGCACCUACAAUUGAUUGGAAUGGACUUGCAAACGCUAUUCUGACUCCAUUCUGUACUUUCAGCUUUUACUAAGCAAAUUAGUGUAACAUGAAGCUCGAUGAUUGUUCUGUUGUCUUGAUUGUUGUUCUGGUUCUACUUCUGUUCGUUCUGGUUUUACAGUCCAUGCCAUCAAAAUUAGCUCACCUGAAAACAAACGAAACACUGAUGGGAUUGAGUUGGGCAACUCUAAAAAUUUUAGAGUAACUGACAACAUUAUCAGUGCAGGUUCAUCUUUCAUCUCUCAUAUACAUAUUGUCCUAAUAGUGAAGGUUGUAAUGGAUUUUAUUGUUGGGGGCCGUCAAUGGGUGCUCGCAGAUGUAAGCCAGAAUCUCACAUGCGGUCCAGGCCAUGGUAUAAGCUCUAUUCCAAUCCAUUUUUGCUUCAAUAUUCAAAGAAUAAAAUAUGAAUUCAGCAACGGCUUCAGAUUCAUCAAAGCCCAGAGGUAUAGUCCCUGUGUGAUGUUGUCACCCUUGGUGGGAACGGGUCGUUGACUACAGACAUCGUCAACCAUUUAGUUGAGGAUCCUGCAUAGUCUACAUAAA